GCUUCUCCUGUGCUUCUAAGUUCUAAACACCACACAAUCCUCACGCUGCUCCCAGAACGCCUCGGAUUUCAACUCUUCGGACACUUCCAAGUGUCCGAACGCAGUGUCCGAGUUUGAAAAUGGCGGAAUUCGGUGCGCGCGAGGUUGAAUCACCUCAUAGUGGCAGGUAUGGAGGGAAGCAGGCUAAAACCCACAGUCAAGAACUUUCUCUUCAGAUACUGACAGAGUCAAGGAACUCUUUUUUCCUCGGCAAGUUGGCGCAACUUCUUUCUCCCGAGUAUUGCCGCCGGGAUGACGUGGCUUCGUCUAUUAAUCGCCGAUUGCAGGUAGAAUGGCGACCACCCCUCCGUAUCCAGAAAUGGCACCGUCCUGCGGUUGCCACGGCUACGGGACCGUCCCACCAAGACAGUGCAAGGUCAUCAAAUCACGGUGGAGGAAAAGGUUAUAAAGAUUUAGAAGAGGAGAAGUGAUUGUAAGAAAUGACACCGUUUAGAAAACAGUGAACUUUUGAUGUGAAAUAUAAAAGUCGAAUUUGAAGCAAGAAGCUAAAAAUGCUAUUGGAGCAAAAGCCCGAAGUUGUGGCAGGAUAACUCACCAAGAUAGAAAAGAGAAAAGAAAAAGGAAUAGGGACGCGCUUAGUGGAGCUAGAAGAUUUAGAAAAAGAGAUAUAUCCUUAGUUCUUCAUCGCCACAACUUGAGGUGGAAUUCUUAUCGAUGAGUAGAAUGAAUCAACGCAGAGGUCUUCAACCUAGUUACCGCGGUUCCCUGGAGCUUCGAGAGGGGUGUCUCGAGUGAUCUCUAUUGACUUAAUCAAAGGGACAGACUCUUAUUAAAAUUUUAUUUUCAUAUAACAUAGAAUUUUUAAAGGUGAAUUGUGUGUAAAAUUAAUAUAAAUAUUUCAUUGAUGAAAUAAAAUCUUAAAUUUCGUAUGGAUAUUCUGAAAUUUCACCUAAAGGGCCUAUGUAUGUGAAAAAAUCUUUCAUUUUGUGCGCUAAGACGAAAUCAAAGUACAGAAAAAGAUUGGAUGUUGAAGAUGCGUUCUUUGU